GUGGGGAAUUUUGGACAAUGGGCGCAAGCCUGAUCCAGCAAUGCCGCGUGCAGGAAGAAGGCCUUCGGGUUGUAAACUGCUUUUGUACGGAACGAAACGGUCCGGGUUAAUACCCUGGGCUAAUGACGGUACCGUAAGAAUAAGCACCGGCUAACUACGUGCCAGCAGUCGCGGUAAUACGUAGGGUGCAAGCGUUAAUCGGAAUUACUGGGCGUAAAGCGUGCGCAGGCGGUUUUGUAAGACAGGCGUGAAAUCCCCGGGCUCAACCUGGGAAUUGCGCUUGUGACUGCAAGGCUGGAGUGCGGCAGAGGGGGAUGGAAUUCCGCGUGUAGCAGUGAAAUGCGUAGAUAUGCGGAGGAACACCGAUGGCGAAGGCAAUCCCCUGGGCCUGCACUGACGCUCAUGCACGAAAGCGUGGGGAGCAAACAGGAUUAGAUACCCCUGUAGUCC
rnacentral:rRNA from 1 species